ACGAACGCUGGCGGCGUGCUUAACACAUGCACGUCGAACGGAAAGGCCCUGCUUUUGUGGGGUGCUCGAGUGGCGAACGGGUGAGUAACACGUGAGUAACCUGCCCUUGACUUUGGGAUAACUUCAGGAAACUGGGGCUAAUACCGGAUAGGAGCUCCUGCUGCAUGGUGGGGGUUGGAAAGUUUCGGCGGUUGGGGAUGGACUCGCGGCUUAUCAGCUUGUUGGUGGGGUAGUGGCUUACCAAGGCUUUGACGGGUAGCCGGCCUGAGAGGGUGACCGGCCACAUUGGGACUGAGAUACGGCCCAGACUCCUACGGGAGGCAGCAGUGGGGAAUAUUGCACAAUGGGCGGAAGCCUGAUGCAGCAACGCCGCGUACGGGAUGACGGCCUUCGGGUUGUAAACCGCUUUCGCCUGUGACGAAGCGUGAGUGACGGUAAUGGGUAAAGAAGCACCGGCUAACUACGUG
rnacentral:rRNA from 1 species